CUUUCUUUUCUAUAACUGUAUGUAAUUUCUGUUUUGAGCUAUCAUCCUAUCUGGUGGUAAGUCAAAACAGAGCUAAAACAGAGCAUGUCCAUUUGGUCAUGUCUGCUUUUCCCAAGAGGUGCUUCUAAGUGUUAAGUGAGAGUCGAUAGUGCAUUUGAUCUAUGAGUUUAUGUCCCUGAGCUGGAAUCUGUUGAGAUGUCCAGUGGUUCUUUGGGCCCUCAAUUGCCUGCCCACUCAGGUUUCUAAAUUAUUCUCCAUUCAUAUCUGAAAUCUCCUUUAGAGCCUGUGGGUUUCAUUCCUACAUCUGUGCCAGUUUUGAUCUCUCAGGAAUGAUUCAGCAAGUUCAGUGGUGCACUGAGUUACAGGCAGGAAACUGGGAGGCUCUCUAAAGGCAUACUUGCCUACACAUAACAGGCCAUCCUUUCUUCUCAUACGUCUCCCUAGCUUCCUGGGCACAAGGAACAUCAUUCCUUCUCAUGCAUGGUCUGCAGUGAUGGGAACUGAAUGCACCAGCAGCAGCCAUAUGAGCUUGGAGGCAGAUCCUGCUCCAAUUGAGACUCAGCUGAGACUGCAGCCCCAGUUGACACCUUGAUUGCAGCUUCAUAAGAUCCUGAAUCAGGGAAUCCAUCUCAGCUGUGCCUAGACUCCUAACCCGUAGAAAUGCGAAAGGAAGAGCAAGCUACUCUCACCUGGGAGGUCCAGCUGGUGAAGACCACAAGAGACUGUCUCCAGUGGGAAAGAGCCUUGAGGGAGCUCAUUUACUGCUUCCACAUGUGUGGUCACAGAAAGAGGCAUCAUCUAUGAACAAGAAUACAGGCCCUCACCAGACACCAAAUCUGCUGGUUUCUUGAUCUUGGACUUCCCAACCUCUGGAGCUGUGAGGAAUAAAUUUCUGUU
rnacentral:lncRNA from 1 species